GACGAACGCUGGCGGCGUGCUUAACACAUGCAAGUCGAACGGAAAGGCUCUGCUUUUGCGGGGUGCUCGAGUGGCGAACGGGUGAGUAACACGUGAGUAACCUGCCCUUGACUUUGGGAUAACUUCAGGAAACUGGGGCUAAUAUCGGAUAUGAGCUCCUGUUGCAUGGUGGGGGUUGGUAAGUUUCGGCGGUUGGGGAUGGACUCGCGGCUUAUCAGCUUGUUGGUGGGGUAGUGGCUUACCAAGGCUUUGACGGGUAGCCGGCCUGAGAGGGUGACCGGCCACAUUGGGCCUGGGGUACGACCCAGACUCCAACGGGAGGAAGCAGUGGGGAAUAUUGCACGAUGGGCGGAAGCAUGAUGCAGCAACGCCGGGUGCGGGAUGACGGCCUUCGGGUUGUAAACCGCGUGCGCCUGUGACGAAGCGUGAGUGACGGUAAUGGGUAAAGAAGCACCGGCUAACUACGUG
rnacentral:rRNA from 1 species